AUUGAACGCUGGCGGCAGGCCUAACACAUGCAAGUCGAACGAGUGGCGGACGGGUGAGUAAUGUCUGGGAAACUGCCUGAUGGAGGGGGAUAACUACUGGAAACGGUAGCUAAUAUCGCAUACCAUCAGAUGUGCCCAGAUGGGAUUAGCUUGUGGGUGGGGUGACGGCUCACCGAGGCGACGAUCCCUAGCUGGUCUGAGAGGAUGACCAGCCACACUGGAUCGGAGACGCGGUCCAGACUCCUGCGGGAGGCAGCAGUGUGGAAUAUUGCACAAUGGGCGCAAACCUGGUGCAGCGAUGCCGAGUGUAUGAAGAAGGCCUUCGGGUUGUAAAGUACUUUCAGCGGGGGGUCGGUACCCGCAGAAGAAGCACCGGCUAACUCCGUGCCAGCAGCCGCGGUAAUAC
rnacentral:rRNA from 1 species